rnacentral:rRNA from 1 species
GCUGAACUUAGCAUUC